rnacentral:misc_RNA from 1 species
AGAAUUGUAUGAAUUGCAGGAGUGUUAUGUUUGUGGCUUUGAAUUUUGGAUAUGUUUUUCGUGGACCUGUGACUGAUUCAAAAGUUUCGUGCUAUGACCCAAUUAGAAUAAAAAUUGAGAUAUUGUAAUAUUCUAGCCUUUGCGUAGAGUUGUGUUGUGAGAUAUUCGGGAAAUACUGAGAUUAGGAUUUCAGAGUUUUGAUUGAUUAUAUCUUGCUCUUUU